UGUAUUGUGGGUUACUAGCCUUAUUAUCCCUUGACAAAGUAUUCUUGUUCAAACUUAAGAAAAUCUUGCUCAGUAAACACGGUGGAUUGUUCUUUUGCUUUCGGCUUCUUUUCAAUGGUUUUACGUUGUUUCUUUAACUGAUUCCUGUGUGACUGAUUUUUUCUGUGACAGCUUAUCUAGCAGAGCCAAGUUUUCCAGAGUCCUAUCUUGCUUGGGAUGUUUCUUGACAAACUGAUCAAUUGCUGAUUUAACUUUUCGGUCCUUAACAGUCGCUUGUUUCUUGAUAGCUUUCCCGAUGGCGCCUUUAACGUUUCUUGGUGGUGUUUUCUUGGUUGAUUUGUCGUGUUUUUCUUCUUUCUCAAACAGUUUCAAACUUUUUUUCAAUAAAGAGGUCGACAUAAUAAAAACCACUUAACAAGUACUCAAGCAAGUUUGAGCUUUAAGCACAUGGACACAGCAAGAUCAAGAAUCAAUCCAAGUUUUUAGUUUUUACAGCAUGUUUUACAGACAGCAAAUACACUGUUGUCAGUUUAUGCUUAUCGACAUUUUUUGGUUUUCCGAAUUUCCCCUUUCAAAAUUUUACAAUUUUACGUAAUUAAAGUAAAUUUAUCGAGUUCAAAUUACAAACGUUCAUCACGCAAAUAUAAAGACUAAGUAAAUAAUUCCAGAGAAAUUCAGACAAAAAAUUUUAUUAUGCGAAGGAAGCAGAUUGGCCUAGGCAACAAGGAUGAAAAAGAUUUUCGACACUGUUCGAGUAUCACACAGAAGGAAAAUAACGACUGAAUUUAAAUAGAUGCAAGCUAUCCGAUUUGAAUAGAAUCGUGCAAAGGUCAUAUGUAAGUUUGUAACAGCGGAAUUCUGUGAAAGCCUUCAUAUAAAUGGAUAAUCGAAACUCAGAUCCCCUCAAACAUUGCUGCAAAUCUAUAGUCGAAAAUUAGCUUCAUUCAUGGAUAACUGUGGAGUUCCAUUUUAUCCGAAUUUUCUUAACUGCUUCGGUGGAAUUUUGGCUGGCUUCUUAAGGAAAUUAUGUGGAGCUUGUUAUCAACGAGGUUUUUU